rnacentral:rRNA from 1 species
GACGAACGCUGGCGGCGUGCUUAACACAUGCAAGUCGAGCGAGGCCCCUCCUUCGGGAGGGUGGCCUAGCGGCGAACGGGUGAGUAACACGUGGGCAACCUGCCCUCAGCUCUGGGAUAACUCCGGGAAACCGGGGCUAAUACCGGAUACGACCUCCACGGGCAUCUGCGGAGGUGGAAAGUUUUUCGGCUGAGGAUGGGCCCGCGGCCUAUCAGCUAGUUGGUGGGGUAGUGGCCCACCAAGGCGACGACGGGUAGCCGGCCUGAGAGGGCGACCGGCCACACUGGGACUGAGACACGGCCCAGACUCCUACGGGAGGCAGCAGUGGGGAAUAUUGCGCAAUGGGCGAAAGCCUGACGCAGCGACGCCGCGUGAGGGACGAAGGCCUUCGGGUUGUAAACCUCUUUCAGCAGGGACGAAGCGAAAGUGACGGUACCUGCAGAAGAAGCACCGGCCAACUACGUG